rnacentral:rRNA from 1 species
ACUCCUACGGGAGGCAGCAGUGGGGAAUAUUGCACAAUGGGGGAAACCCUGAUGCAGCCAUGCCGCGUGUGUGAAGAAGGCCUUCGGUUGUAAAGCACUUUCAGUAGGGAGGAAGGUAGUGUAGUUAACACCUGCAUUAUUUGACGUUACCUACAGAAGAAGCACCGGCUAACUCCGUGCCAGCAGCCGCGGUAAUACGGAGGGUGCGAGCGUUAAUCGGAAUUACUGGGCGUAAAGCGCAUGCAGGCGGCCUGUUAAGUCAGAUGUGAAAGCCCGGGGCUUAACCGUCGGAAUUGCAUUUGAAACUGGCAGGCUAGAGUCUUGUAGAGGGGUUAGAAUUUCAGGUGUAGCGGUGAAAUGCGUAGAGAUCUGAAGGAAUACCAGUGGCGAAGGCGGCCCCGUGGACAAAGCU